GCCGAGGUGGUGGAAUUUGGCAGACACGCUACCUUGAGGUGGUAGUGGGCGUUAAGCCUGUGCAGGUUCAAAUCCUGUCCUCGGCA
rnacentral:tRNA from 1 species